GGGUCAAUGGUCUAGUGGUAUGAUUCUCGCUUUGGGAGCGAGAGGCCCUGGGUUCAAUUCCCAGUUGACCCC
rfam:Pichia kudriavzevii strain SD108 scaffold00005, whole genome shotgun sequence.